rnacentral:lncRNA from 1 species
AACGACGAAGAUUAGAUAGAAUGGAAUCAGAUUCUAAUGGUUUCAGUUUCAAACAUCAAGAGACGAGUAUUUAUAUAAUAAUAUAAUAUAACGAUGAAAAGAAAGGUCGGAUGAUCACAAAAUUCAAUAUAGGGGUAAAAUGAGGAAAGAGGAAAACCUUCUCGAAGAUGGUGAAGACGAUGGCAAGAUUCCGUCGAUAGCGAACCAAAAGAAAAAAUAACGGUCAAUGAGGAUCGCGGCGGAGGCGACGACGGAUGACGGCGACGAUCAGACGAUGUCGCGCGCGCACGUGCGGAGCGGCCGGGGUCGUACGGUCGCUGAGAGAAAAGGGAUCGAGCGGGAGAGAGAGGUGGUCGAAUAAAGGAGAGAAAUGGUGUCGUACGGGAGAGGGAAAAGAUUUUUGAUCGGGUUGGGGGAGGGGUUCAUCCGGAAAUAAAAGAAAAGGAAAAGAAUCUAAUUUAAUUAGGGAUUAAAUAA